GGGGUUGUAGCUCAGUGGUAGAGUGCUUGCCUAGCCCACAAGACACUGAGUUCCAUCCCCAGCACCACG
rnacentral:tRNA from 1 species